UACAGAGGUGGCAAGCGUUGUUCGGAAUUACUGGGCGUAAAGCGUGCGCAGGCGGUUCGUGAUGUCUGGUGUGAAAGCCCCGGGCUUAACCUGGGAAUUGCAUUGGAAACUAGCGGGCUGGAGUGUGGCAGAGGGGGGUGGAAUUCCACGUGUAGCAGUGAAAUGCGUAGAGAUGUGGAGGAACACCGAUGGCGAAGGCAGCCCCCUGGGCUAACACUGACGCUCAUGCACGAAAGCGUGGGGAGCAAACAGG
rnacentral:rRNA from 1 species